GAUUACUUCGUGAACUACCUGGUUUACAAUACAGGUGACUAGACCAUAACCCACACCACCAGAUAUUUUAAGCAUCUCAGCAGUAAUUUCUGAUGAGCUGGGGGCUUUCCCUGGCUUCAUAUCCUUAAUUGCUUUAUCUACCAGGGUGUUGUUGAUUCAGCUA